UCUGCGAUCGCAUAUAAUCCUUUUAUAAGAGAUAUUGGACGGCAUACAUAUCUUCCCCCUGACCCGAUUUGUUUUUUAAAUGGCCUGCUGUAAAUAAUCAGAGUACUGACUGGGUGAUCACAGCCCGGAGACACAGGCGAAGGCCUUCCAUCCAAAUGCCAGAGUAAAUGCGCUUGGAUUAUGCAUUCACGUGGUCAGUACGUCAACGUUUCCCCAUUUUAUACAGACUUUAGCAAUUGUUAAUUGAACCCUUCUUUUUGUUCAUGAUCGUUGAAAUUUGGGCAUUUCAAAAACUUCUAGUGGAUGACGAGGGGCCCUCCACGUUCUUAUUCUUUUCGUAGAAGCUGUUUGCAAAGGUUUCGAGGAAAAUGCCAAGAGAUUGAGUUGAGGAAGUUUAGCGGUCAACACUGGAUGGACCUCAAAUUGGAAACUUUCAAAUUAUAAUAGGUGGUGGAGCUCAGUUGUACCCCCACGGGAGGAAAAUAUUUAUUGGACCCUGGUGGAUUUGAAAGAAAUGCCUUCUGGAAGAUCUCGGGAGCGUCAUCGAAAGAUGCAUGGGUUCGCUUGACAGGAAUGGAUUCAAUAGCAGUUGGACUGCGAAGUUGCAAACGGCCGGUUCCCAACUAGCCUUAUACGUGAACGGACUUCCUGCAAAAUCUGAGUAGUUUACUUAUAGUCGGAAGCUUAAUUCUGCACAUGCUGUUAAAAAAUAUCUAGUACACAUUAAUGUACACUGAACGCGAUUUAAGGUUUAGGCUACUGUCAAGAUAUAGGCCAGAAUGGUAAACAGAAGGUGAAAUAUAGAUGUGUGUAACGUGUCCAAUAGGAACUGGUCUGGUGUAUGGAUGUCAGAAAUUGCUGAGAAUACGCAGAACGCCAUUAGCGGACUCCUUUCAAAUAUCGGAUCCGCCAGCUAAAUAUGCUGUGAUAUUUAACAGCGGGAGACAGUGAGUAAGAGAUGCAGAAAUAGAGUGAAAGAAACUUACGCAGAAUAGAAAGAAAAAGUAAAAAGCAAUAGUGAAAAAAAUUCAAGCCAAAAACAAUGCUACUUCUUGAGCUCAUUGCUACGGUCUCACUAUGUCAAUUUCCUAACAAUGUCUAUGUGAUUUAUAAAAUGAUUACAAUCAUUACUUUCAAGCAAAUAAACCUCAAAUCUCUACGGAGUGCGAACAGGGCAUCACCUUAUCCUAUUUUUGUUCCUCCAGUUGCAACAAUUUCGGACAAUUGCUCCUUAGAGACCGACCACAUUUCAACACAAAGGAAUGGGGGGAAAGAACAUGGAAAAUUUGGCACAAAAAAACCAUUAGCUUUUUGGUGAUUUGACGCUUUCACUGAACAGAAGAAAAAGAUCAAAAAUCGCCAUCGUUUGCAACAGAGAAAUCUACACUACUGGAACCAUGAAGUAAAUUGUAUCUCACAAUUAGGAGCAUUUUUUGGCAAAUGAAGAAAAUCGACAUCCCAAAGGCCUGCCAAUCAUAGAGCAACUGCGAGUUUUCAUUGUUUUUCCUCCUCAUUUACAAGAGCAGAACCAAUAUUCGGAGAUUGAGGAAACAGAUUAUGUGCCACAUUUUUAAAGGCAUAUGAACUUUGUCAAUCUAUUCCAUGGUAGUUUAAUCUUAUUUCAUGUAACAUACACAAAUGAGUGGAACAUACAUAAAUCUAUCUAGUACAAAAGAACAAAGACAAAUACAGCAUAAUUUUACAGGAAAUGUAUUAAAUCAUAGACAAAUUCCAAAUUUGUUCCAUGUACUUGUAGUUCGUUCACCUGCAACUGCGUCCCUUUUUGAUUUCUGCAUCUUGCAUAUUAAAUAAUUAAAUUGUUCAGAAGUAUUUUGAGAUUUUCAUCUUUGUUGGGCUACCAGAUAGAGUAUAUAAUGGAUAAUUCCAACGCUGAGUGUAAUUAUCAAAACAAACACUUAAAAGGAAUUCACAUAAUCAUAAUUAAAAACGACCAUUAAAUAUCCCUCAAUAAGAAAAAGAUUACCAUGCAACUGACAGAUAAUGGUAUUUUGAAAGGCACCCGCGUUUCACUACUGAUGUUCUUUGCCUGC